GACGAACGCUGGCGGCGUGCUUAACACAUGCAAGUCGAACGGUGAAGCGCCUUCCUUUGUGGUGGGUGUGGAUGAGUGGCGAACGGAUGAGUAACACGUGAGUAACCUUCCCCCUUCUCCUGGAUAACCGCAUGAAAGUGUUGCUAAUACGGUAUUUUCGCAGUCUGUCGCAUGAUGAGUCUGGGAAAGAUAUUGUUUCGGUGCGGCAUGUGCGCGGGGCCUAUCAGCUUUGUGGUGGGGUGAUGGCCUACCAAGGCCGUGGCGGGUAGCCGGCCGGAGAGGGUGGACGCUCAGAAUGGGGAUGGGCCACGGCGGGGCUUAGUAAGGGAGGAGGCAGUGGGGGAUAGUGGAAAAUGGGAGCAAGGCUGAUGGGGCGCCGGCGCGUGGGGGAUGCAGGCCUUCGGGGUGUGAACCUCUUUCGUUAGUGAAGCAGUCCUGCAUCGUUUGUGGUUGGGUUGACGGUAGCUGGAGAAGAAGCGCCGGCUAACUACGUG
rnacentral:rRNA from 1 species